rnacentral:rRNA from 1 species
UCAGAUUGCAGGCUGCAACUCGCCUGCAUGAAGUCGGAAUUGCUAGUAAUCGUAGGUCAGCAUACUACGGUGAAUACGUUCCCGGGCCUUGUACACACCGCCCGUCAAACCAUGAGAGUUGGCAACACCCGAAGUCGGUAGUCUAACCGCAAGGAGGACGCCGCCGAAGGUGGGGUUGAUGAUUAGGGUUAAGUCGUAACAAGGUAUC